ensembl:lncRNA
CUGAAACAGAACAGCAAAGCUUUUGAUGCGAUUUGGAACCUGAAAAGGCUCAGUGCUGCAUGUGGGGGGGUGCUUAGAGACAUGGAGAAGCUCUGAAAUAGCACAGGAUUAAAAGUGAAGAGCAUUAGGCACGUCACCUGAAGAAAUCAGAUUAAUCUCACUGUUUGCUGCUUGUUACAGCACUCAGCACUGUUUACUGUCUCACACACACAAACAGGAUUUUACAUACACUCCUGAGAAUCUAACUCGACAUGAGACACCAGAGAAUUUCAGACAGCACAUUAACACAGUGCUGGUAACCUGUGCCCCUCCCCUCCUUCACUAAAGAAUGCAUUAAGUCGUCCUCAACGUUUGUGUAACUCUCUCCGCUUCACCUUUAACAUUCCUUAAAUCACAGAUCACAAGCUUCUGACGCAAGAACCACGUCACACCUAAUACAGCCCUCUUUCUCUGGGAGACAGAGCCAGAGAGAGAAGAGGACAGAGACAAAGGAAAACAGCCUUGCUGAACAAUGAACUAGAAAAACUCCCAUAUCAAUAAUACAAGUCAUGCAACACGCAAAGUCAUUAAACAAAACAUUCCCACAGCAGCACAUUUAACAUCAAAGGGAUUGAAAAUAACAAAAACCAUUUAAUUUUACAGUGACAGUGGUCACCAUAGCCACCCAUACAGCAGUCAAUGAUUAAACAGCCUAGUAUUUAUAGAACUACUAGUACAGUGUUCACUAGGCGAAAGCUUGAAUGGCCCCUUCACUGGGAUUUACAGAUACAGAGGCCACACCCCCUUCACUGGAACUUACAGGUACAGAGGCCACGCCUCCUCCGUUGGAACAGACAGAUACAGAGGCCACACCUCUUUUACUGGGACUGACGAGUACAGAAACCAAAUCCCCUCCACAUGGACUGACAGACACCACACUAUGGGACUAAUAGCCACAGUGGCCACACCUCCUUCACUGGGUUUGAUAAGCAUUCUACUCUCCACAGCUAAGACAACACUUUCACACAAAACCAAAUGACAUUGCAUUGGACUGAAAAUGCUCCAAAUUCCACCCAAGAAUCAUAGACUGCUUGAACACAUUUUGAGGUGCUUCCCUUAUCACAUCAACACUACAUAAUCCCUCUUCAUCUCUCAUCUUUAAUAAACGUAUACAAUAUUAGCAUCAUGGAAACCCCAAAAAGCACUAUUUGACCCAAAACUAUUACAGCAAAGCUGAAAAUAACUUGUUUCUGAUCAUUUGCUUAUCUGCAUCGACACGACUGUGUGUGCGCACACUUUCUCCAGUCUCUCACCUGGGCUCUCUUUCUGUGCUCAAGUUCCUCCAGCUUGGUGGUGGUGCAUGACCUGCGUCGGCCCUGGGUUCGGCCCCUGACAGGAUUUCCCACUUUCCUGCACUGUGUAUACGGUGAUUUUUUGCUCGGUUUCUCGUCGUACUCUGCUGUCUCGCCUUCAUGAAGUUUCACAGCCUUCUGUCUUCUCAGCAGGCUGUGUAUGGACAGCACCAGCAUUGUGCACAGCACGUACAUGAUCUCAGCGACUGG